rnacentral:rRNA from 1 species
UGUAGCGGUGAAAUGCUUAGAUAUCACGAAGAACUCCGAUUGCGAAGGCAGCUUACUGGAUUGUAACUGACGCUGAUGCUCGAAAGUGUGGGUAUCAAACAGGAUUUAGAUACCCUGGUAGUCCACACAGUAAACGAUGAAUACUCGCUGUUGGCGAUAUACGGUCAGCGGCCAAGCGAAAGCAUUAAGUAUUCCACCUGGGGAGUACGCCGGCAACGGUGAAACUCAAAGGAAUUGGCGGGGGCCCGCACAAGCGGAGGAACAUGUGGUUUAAUUCGAUGAUACGCGAGGAACCUUACCCGGGCUUAAAUUGCAACUGACUGAAUCGGAAACGGUUCUUUCUUCGGACAGUUGUGAAGGUGCUGCAUGGUUGUCGUCAGCUCGUGCCGUGAGGUGUCGGCUUAAGUGCCAUAACGAGCGCAACCCUUACGGGUAGUUACCAUCAGGUUAUGCUGGGGACUCUACCCGGACUGCCGUCGUAAGAUGUGAGGAAGGUGGGGAUGACGUCAAAUCAGCACGGCCCUUACGUCCGGGGCUACACACGUGUUACAAUGGGGGGUACAGAAGGCAGCUACACGGCGACGUGGUGCUAAUCCCGAAAGCCUCUCUCAGUUCGGAUUGGAGUCUGCAACCCGACUCCAUGAAGCUGGAUUCGCUAGUAAUCGCGCAUCAGCCACGGCGCGGUGAAUACGUUCCCGGGCCUUGUACACACCGCCCGUCAAGCCAUGAAAGCCGGGGGUACCUGAAGUACGUAACCGCGAGGAGCGUCCUAGGGUAAAACUGGUGA